rnacentral:lncRNA from 1 species
GGAAUGGGGACAGGAAUGGGGGGGACACGGGAAUGGGACAUGGGAUGGCACAAGGAUAGGGAAGGACACGGGAACAGGGACAGGGAGAUGGGGGACAGGGACAUGGAAGGACAUGGGAAUGGGGACAGGGACAUGGAGGGGACACAGGAACAGGGACAGGGAGAGGGGGACAGGGACAUGGAGACACGGUACCAGGGACAUGGAGGGGACACAGGAACAGGGACAGGGGGGAACAGGGAUGUGGAGGGACACGGGACAGGGAAACGGAGAAGGUGGAACAGGGACACGGAGGGGCUGAGGGACAGGGACUGGGAGGGAAACAGGAAUGGGGACACAGAGGGAAAUGGGAAUGGGGACACAGAGGGAAACAGGAAUGGGGACACAGCGGGAAACAGGAAUGGGAGCACAGAGGGAAACAGGAAUGGGGACACGGAGGGAAACGGGAAUGGGGACACGGAGGGAAACAGGAAUGGGAGCACAGAGUGAAACAGGAAUGGGGACUGGGAGGGAAACAGGAAUGGGAGCAGGGCCACAGAGGGAGCAGAAGAGACACGGAGGGAGGAGAACAGGGAAUUAUCCCAGGAGAUUCCCGCAGCAAGGUAAAGCUGCCAAAGCUCGGCAGCUCAUUCCUGGGAUUUUAUCGGGAAUUGUGUUUGCGUUCCUGGAGAGGCGCUGGUGGGAGCAGGAGCGGCAGAGCCCCCAUCCCACAGGGAACAUCAGCCAGAGGCUCAAAGGAACCCGGACAUGGGGAAUGCCCGGUCCUGGGGCAUGAUUGGAUCAGGGAUCCACUGGGAUCAGGGACCCGCUGGGAUCAGGGACCCGCUGGGAUCAGGGAUCCGCUGGGAUCAGGGAUCCCCCUGUCCCAGGACGCGCUCCGAACUCUCCCAGCUGCGCUGGACUGGGACGGGUUCCGGGAUACCCGGAUUUGGGAAUUCCCAUCCCUGUCCAGAGGAGGCCUCGCUGUCACCCCCGGGCAGCUCCCGCUGUCCCCUCUCCUCAUCCCAGAGCCAGCUCCGGGCUCCCGGGUGGAUCCUGGGUGCAGCUCCCAGGGAUUCCAGCAUUCCCAGCAUUUCCAGGGAAUUCCCAUGGCCGGGCCGGACCCUGGGGCUUGGAGCACCCGGGACAGUGGAAGAGUCCCUGCCCUGGCUG